UACGUAGGCCGCGAGCGUUGUUCGGAAUUACUGGGCGUAACGAGUGCGUAGGCGGUGCUCUAAGUCUGUUGUGACAUCUCCCGGCUCAACUGGGAGGGUGCGGCGGAAACUAGAGUGCUAGAGUGUGGGAGAGGUAAGUGGAAUUCCUGGUGUAGCGGUGAAAUGCGUAGAGAUCAGGAGGAACACCUGCGGUGUAGACAGCUUACUGGACCACGACUGACGCUGAGACACGAAAGCGUGGGUAGCAAACAGG
rnacentral:rRNA from 1 species